AUUGAACGCUGGCGGCAGGCCUAACACAUGCAAGUCGAGCGGAGCGGCGGACGGGUGAGUAAUGCCUAGGAAUCUGCCUGGUAGUGGGGGAUAACGUCCGGAAACGGUAGCUAAUACCGCAUACUAUCAGAUGAGCCUAGGUGGGAUUAGCUAGUUGGUGGGGUAACGGCUUACCAAGGCGACGAUCCCUAGCUGGUCUGAGAGGAUGAUCAGUCACACUGGAACUGAGACACGGUCCAGACUCCUACGGGAGGCAGCAGUGGGGAAUAUUGGACAAUGGGCGAAAGCCUGAUGCAGCCAUGCCGCGUGUGUGAAGAAGGCCUUCGGAUUGUAAAGCACUUUAAGUUGGGAGGCGUUACCAACAGAAGAAGCACCGGCUAACUCCGUGCCAGCAGCCGCGGUAAUUC
rnacentral:rRNA from 1 species